rnacentral:tRNA from 1 species
UCCGUUGUAGUCUAGCUGGUUAGGAUACUUGGCUCUCACCGGAGAGACCCAGGUUCGAGUCCCCGGCAACGGAA